AUGCGGUCCAGGUCUCAGGCUGUGGUGACUCAGGAGCCCUCAGCGACCGUGUCCCCCGGAGGGACAGUCACUCUCACCUGUGGCUCCAGCACAGGGGCUGUCACUGAUGGUCUCUACCCGUACUGGAUCCAGCAGAAGCCUGGCCAGAUCCCCAGGACACUCAUUUAUAACACAAACAAGAAAUACUCCUGGACGCCGGCCCGGUUCUCAGGCUCCAUCCAAGGGGGCAAAGCUGCCCUGACCCUCUCAGGGGCGCAGCCUGAGGACGAGGCCGAGUACUACUGCUGGUUACACUUCAGUGGUGCUCACCACAGUGAGUGA